GACGAACGCUGGCGGCGUGCUUAACACAUGCAAGUCGAACGGAAAGGCCUGCUUUCCCUUGUGGAUUGCUGGUACUCGAGUGGCGAAGGGGAACGUAACACGUGCCUGCUCUGCACACAACUUGGGCAUAAGCCAGGGAAACCGGGUAUCAUACACGAUCUGACCGCAGCGUGGUGCAUGUGGGGGAGAUCGAUUUUCCAUUGGUUGGGGUUGGGCUCGCGGCCUAUCAGUUUGUUGGUGGGGUAAUGGCCUACCAAGGCGGCGACGGGUAGGCGGGCUGGAAGGGUGGACGGCGGCAUUGGGACUGAGAUACGGCCCAGAGUGCGGCAGGAGGCAGGAGUGGGGAAUAAUGGACAAUGGGCGGAAGGCGGAUGGAGCGACGCGGGGUGAGGGAUUACGGCCUGCAGGUUGUAGACACCUUGCGAGCGCGGGGAAGCCACCUGGUUUUAAGGGUAUUGACGGUAGUGGAAGAGGAAGCACCGGCUAACUACGUG
rnacentral:rRNA from 1 species